rnacentral:rRNA from 1 species
AACUCUGAGCGGUGGAUCACUCGGCUCGUGCGUCGAUGAAGAGCGCAGCCAACUGCGUGAAUUAGUGUGAAUUGCAGGAUAUCUUGAACAUCGACAUCUUGAACGCAUAUUGCGGCCUCAGGUCUCCCCUGUGGCCACGCCUGGCCGAGGUCG